rnacentral:rRNA from 1 species
UGGGGAAUAUUGCACAAUGGAGGGAACUCUGAUGCAGCGACGCCGCGUGAACGAAGAAGGCUUUCGAGUCGUAAAGUUCUUUUAUAUGGGAAGAUAAUGACGGUACCAUAAGAAGAAGCCCCGGCUAACUACGUGCCAGCAGCCGCGGUAAUACGUAGGGAGCUAGCGUUGUCCGGAAUCACUGGGCGUAAAGGGUUCGCAGGCGGAAAUGCAAGUCAGGUGUAAAAGGCAGUAGCUUAACUACUGUAAGCAUUUGAAACUGCAUAUCUUGAGAAGAGUAGAGGUAAGUGGAAUUUUUAGUGUAGCGGUGAAAUGCGUAGAUAUUAAAAAGAAUACCGGUGGCGAAGGCGACUUACUGGGCUCAUUCUGACGCUGAGGAACGAAAGCGUGGGUAGCAAACAGG